GCAGUGGCAGUGUCGGGGGCUGGAAGGGCAAGGGCGAAGGAGUCAAGAACCUGAUUUCUUCCCGCCCUGCUUCUCCCCCUCCUCUGCCGUAUUCAUUGACUCAGCGCAGAAGUCUGAUCUGCGCUGGGCGCUAAGCAGGCUGAUCACUUCAGCCAGUACGACAUCUUCCUCUGGAAGAAAGAGCUAAAGGCAUGGCAGAGCUCACUCCAAGGCAGAUAUUCCUUAUAAGUUUCACUGCCUCUCAAGCAAUAUCUAAAUGAUGAACGAACAUUGGAAAAUGACCAAGAAUCAAGACAAAUCUGCUGGUUUGACUGGUUUGGAAGCAGUUUUA